rnacentral:rRNA from 1 species
UAACACAUGCAAGUCGAGCGGUAACAGAAAGUAGCUUGCUACUUUGCUGACGAGCGGCGGACGGGUGAGUAAUGCUUGGGAACAUGCCUUGAGGUGGGGGACAACAGUUGGAAACGACUGCUAAUACCGCAUAAUGUCUACGGACCAAAGAGGGCUUCGGCUCUCGCCUUUAGAUUGGCCCAAGUGGGAUUAGCUAGUUGGUGAGGUAAUGGCUCACCAAGGCAACGAUCCCUAGCUGGUUUGAGAGGAUGAUCAGCCACACUGGAACUGAGACACGGUCCAGACUCCUACGGGAGGCAGCAGUGGGGAAUAUUGCACAAUGGGCGAAAGCCUGAUGCAGCCAUGCCGCGUGUGUGAAGAAGGCCUUCGGGUUGUAAAGCACUUUCAGUCAGGAGGAAAGGGUGUGAGUUAAUACCUCAUAUCUGUGACGUUACUGACAGAAGAAGCACCGGCUAACUCCGUGCCAGCAGCCGCGGUAAUACGGAGGGUGCGAGCGUUAAUCGGAAUUACUGGGCGUAAAGCGUACGCAGGCGGUUUGUUAAGCGAGAUGUGAAAGCCCCGGGCUCAACCUGGGAACUGCAUUUCGAACUGGCAAACUAGAGUGUGAUAGAGGGUGGUAGAAUUUCAGGUGUAGCGGUGAAAUGCGUAGA